UGUGGAGUACGAGGACAAAGAGAUUGUAGUAAAAGUGUGGCAAGAGAAAGGAAAGGGUAGGUUUGUGAAAUAGCAACACGAGUCCCGUUAACAGCACGUGCCACAACUUGUGCUCCAAUAGCCCCAAAAACUGCGCAGACGCAGAAUUGCUCGCGAACUGCAAUGCAUUGUAGCUGUUGCUAGUGCACAGAGAGAAAAUAGUGAAAGGAA